rnacentral:rRNA from 1 species
CAGUCGAACGGUAGCACAGAGAGCUUGCUCUCGGGUGACGAGUGGCGGACGGGUGAGUAAUGUCUGGGAAACUGCCUGAUGGAGGGGGAUAACUACUGGAAACGGUAGCUAAUACCGCAUAACGUCGCAAGACCAAAGAGGGGGACCUUCGGGCCUCUUGCCAUCAGAUGUGCCCAGAUGGGAUUAGCUAGUAGGUGGGGUAACGGCUCACCUAGGCGACGAUCCCUAGCUGGUCUGAGAGGAUGACCAGCCACACUGGAACUGAGACACGGUCCAGACUCCUACGGGAGGCAGCAGUGGGGAAUAUUGCACAAUGGGCGCAAGCCUGAUGCAGCCAUGCCGCGUGUAUGAAGAAGGCCUUCGGGUUGUAAAGUACUUUCAGCGGGGAGGAAGGUGUUGUGGUUAAUAACCACAGCAAUUGACGUUACCCGCAGAAGAAGCACCGGCUAACUCCGUGCCAGCAGCCGCGGUAAUACGGAGGGUGCAAGCGUUAAUCGGAAUUACUGGGCGUAAAGCGCACGCAGGCGGUCUGUCAAGUCGGAUGUGAAAUCCCCGGGCUCAACCUGGGAACUGCAUUCGAAACUGGCAGGCUAGAGUCUUGUAGAGGGGGGUAGAAUUCCAGGUGUAGCGGUGAAAUGCGUAGAGAUCUGGAGGAAUACCGGUGGCGAAGGCGGCCCCCUGGACAAAGACUGACGCUCAGGUGCGAAAGCGUGGGGAGCAAACAGGAUUAGAUACCCUGGUAGUCCACGCCGUAAACGAUGUCGAUUUGGAGGUUGUGCCCUUGAGGCGUGGCUUCCGGAGCUAACGCGUUAAAUCGACCGCCUGGGGAGUACGGCCGCAAGGUUAAAACUCAAAUGAAUUGACGGGGGCCCGCACAAGCGGUGGAGCAUGUGGUUUAAUUCGAUGCAACGCGAAGAACCUUACCUGGUCUUGACAUCCACAGAACUUUCCAGAGAUGGAUUGGUGCCUUCGGGAACUGUGAGACAGGUGCUGCAUGGCUGUCGUCAGCUCGUGUUGUGAAAUGUUGGGUUAAGUCCCGCAACGAGCGCAACCCUUAUCC